rnacentral:lncRNA from 1 species
AGACCUGCGCAUAAACCUCAUCACUUGCCGCCUCUGCCUGCAAAAAGUACACAGAAACAAGAGAACAAAGCAUCAGAUGACGAGUAAAUACCGAAAGGAAAAAAGAAAGAGGAAAAAUAUUGAAACUAACUAGCACUUGCCAUCACUUACUAAUGGAACUUAAAAGUUUAGACAUUUUCAUAGCAGAAUUAGCUCCAAUUGUCUUCUAAUUUAUAUUUACAUCACAGAAACACAGUACUUCAAAAAUAAUUUCCCCCCCAAUUAUCUUGCCAAGAAAACAAGACCGAAAUCAAGACACCUAAAGAGAACAAAAUAUAGUGUUUUUUUUUUUUGGGAAUUUGCAACAAUAAUGAAAGGCCCUCGAAGGAAAAAGAAAAAUUCAAACUUGAAAUGCCCUGAAGCUGACACCAAAAGUUGCAAAAACCAAACAACACUCAUUAGUCUGUCUAAAAAACACUCCAGAAGCGCAACUUAAAAAUUGAC